rnacentral:rRNA from 1 species
AUACGGAGGGUGCAAGCGUUAAUCGGAAUUACUGGGCGGAAAGCGCGCGUAGGCGGUUAGAUAAGUCGGAUGUGAAAUCCCUGGGCUCAACCUGGGAACUGCAUUCGAUACUGUCUAACUAGAGUAUGGUAGAGGGAAGUGGAAUUCCGGGUGUAGCGGUGAAAUGCGUAGAUAUCCGGAGGAACAUCAGUGGCGAAGGCGACUUCCUGGACCAAUACUGACGCUGAGGUGCGAAAGCGUGGGGAGCAAACAGGAUUAGAUACCCCAGUAGUCC